UUACGAUCACAUCUCGUUGAAAUAACGGUUCUCGUCUGAUGACCGAAGUUAAGCAACGUUGAGCCUAGUUUGAACCUAGAUGAGUGACCGCUUAGGAAUACCAGGUGCUGUAAG